GUAGGUGAACCUGCGGAAGGAUCAUUAUAGAGAACUUGCCCCCCGGGGUAGAUUCCAACCCUCUGUUUACUUACCUAUGUUGCUUUGGCAGGCCCGGCUGCAGACCGCCGGCGCACGCUGGUCAGCGCCUGCCAGAGGACCCCCAAAAUCAUGAUAAUUGUCGUCCGAGUACUAUAAAAUAGCGAAAACUUUCAACAACGGAUCUCUUGGUUCUGGCAUCGAUGAAGAACGCAGCAUCUGACUGACUCGA
rnacentral:misc_RNA from 1 species